rnacentral:rRNA from 1 species
AUUGAACGCUGGCGGCAGGCUUAACACAUGCAAGUCGAGCGGGGAGGGUUGCUUUGGUAACUGACCUAGCGGCGGACGGGUGAGUAAUGCUUAGGAAUCUGCCUAUUAGUGGGGGACAACAUUCCGAAAGGAAUGCUAAUACCGCGUACGUCCUACGGGAGAAAGCAGGGGAUCUUCGGACCUUGCGCUAAUAGAUGAGCCUAAGUCGGAUUAGCUAGUUGGUGGGGUAAAGGCCUACCAAGGCGACGAUCUGUAGCGGGUCUGAGAGGAUGAUCCGCCACACUGGGACUGAGACACGGCCCAGACUCCUACGGGAGGCAGCAGUGGGGAAUAUUGGACAAUGGGGGGAACCCUGAUCCAGCCAUGCCGCGUGUGUGAAGAAGGCCUUAUGGUUGUAAAGCACUUUAAGCGAGGAGGAGGCUACUUUAGUUAAUACCUAGAGAUAGUGGACGUUACUCGCAGAAUAAGCACCGGCUAACUCUGUGCCAGCCGCCGCAGUAA